rnacentral:rRNA from 1 species
GAUGAACGCUAGCUACAGGCUUAACACAUGCAAGUCGAGGGGCAGCGGGAUUGAAGCUUGCUUCAAUUGCCGGCGACCGGCGCACGGGUGAGUAACGCGUAUCCAACCUUCCGUACACUCAGGGAUAGCCUUUCGAAAGAAAGAUUAAUACCUGAUGGUAUCUUAAGCACACAUGUAAUUAAGAUUAAAGAUUUAUCGGUGUACGAUGGGGAUGCGUUCCAUUAGGUAGUAGGCGGGGUAACGGCCCACCUAGCCAACGAUGGAUAGGGGUUCUGAGAGGAAGGUCCCCCACAUUGGAACUGAGACACGGUCCAAACUCCUACGGGAGGCAGCAGUGAGGAAUAUUGGUCAAUGGUCGGCAGACUGAACCAGCCAAGUCGCGUGAGGGAAGACGGCCCUACGGGUUGUAAACCUCUUUUGUCGGAGAGUAAAGUACGCUACGUGUAAGUGUAUUGCAAGUAUCCGAAGAAAAAGCAUCGGCUAACUCCGUG